rnacentral:rRNA from 1 species
AGCUCCAAUAGCGUAUACUAAAGUUGUUGCGAUUAAAAAGCUCGUAGUUGGAUCUCAGGCAUGGGCGCGCGGUCCGCCUCGCGGCGGUCACUGUGUGUUGUUUCCCAUCCUACGCUUCCCGGUUGUUCAGCCCAUGGUGCUCUUCAUUGAGCGUUUUGGGUGGCCGGAACGUUUACUUUGAAGAAAUUAGAGUGUUCAAAGCAGGCACGUCGCCUGAAUAAUGGUGCAUGGAAUAAUGGAAUAGGACCUCGGUUCUAUUUUGCUGGUUUUCGGAACACGAGGUAAUGAUUAAGAGGGACAGACGGGGGCAUCCGUAUUGCGGUGUUAGAGGUGAAAUUCUUGGAUCAUCGCAAGACGAACAACUGCGAAAGCAUUUGCCAAGCAUGUUUUCA